AGAGUCAUUCAGUUUAUUUUAAGCGUUCCUUCUAUUAUAUUUGUUCACAGCAUGAGAUGCCUUAUUAUUGCGAUGAUUUUCAUUGUUACUUUAGGACAAUGGGAAACAAAUUAGUUUGUGUGUUUCUUCCUCUCCUUAUUAUAAGCAUUCAAAAGGUGGUCACCAAUCGCCAUUGGGGGUUAGGGAUUGAGGGUAGAGUCUGAACGGUCCCAGGCGCACAAGAGGGAGAGGAGAGAUCGGAAAGGAUAUCAACAUGGAUGCUCUGUCAGUCAUUAUUUAAUUAUUAAUAGUUUUAGAGCAGAUGAAUUUAAACUUGAAUUUUGAAAUUGGUUGUUCAACAGGCAUUCUACUACGCAGGAAAGACUAUCAUGUCAAAUUAGGAAUUUGAUAAUCUCAAAUGUGGGAAGGGAGCAGUGUUGUAAUGCUAGGUUCUGGUGAGCAAAAAUUCUUGGAAGCAGCUAUGGGUUAUGUGCCUGAAAAAUCAAUCAUGAGCAAUGGAGAUUAUGCUGAUUUAAAAUAGAGGCUAAAGGAAAUCCAGUUGAUAAAGUCAAUUUGUAUCUGCUAGAGACAAGCAAAGAUGGCAGCAGUGGCUAUUGUCAUAAAAGAAAAGCAAAGAGUGUUCAUACUCCUCUUAUAUUUCUCUGAGCCUGACUAACAAUUGUCCUUAUACUGGCCUAAUGGUGCCUCCUAAGUCCUAACAUAUCCUUUUUACUCUGCAUUCAUUCUACAUUUGGUUGUCUGAGGAGAACUUAUGAAUGAAAUGAUGGCUGCAAAUUCAAGAAAACACACAUUGGAGGCUUUGGAGAGAACAAUUGUUGUUGCUUAAAAUUAAAUUCUCUUAAAAGAAAAGAAGAGCAAAAAAGCUAUAAAUAUAAGCACGGAUAUGGCAGGAGUCCUUAUCAACUCAGAUGGGGGUUCCGAUGAGUCCUAACCACCUGUCUUGAAUGUUUAGAAGCUUACAAAAAGGAGCUCUAUAUGUAUGUUGAUUUGGCGUUUCAUUCAAUCCUAUUAACUUCAUCGUCCCUGCAAUCAAACAAGGAGAAGAAAGAUGUUUCUUUUCAAAUAUCUAUCAAUGUAUCACCAUAAAGUUCUUAAAAUCUUUUGAUUAAUCUAUCUUUUGCUUCUAUUGGGAAAUUUCAUGAUGGGAAAUGAGGAAUGUAUAUAUAGUUGUGCUCCUUUUCCGCGUGUAUUAUUUGGCAUUUGUUCAUGUUAUUU